GACGAACGCUGGCGGCGUGCUUAACACAUGCAAGUCGAACGGAGUGGCGAACGGGUGUGUAACACGUGUGUGAUCUGCCUUGCACUUCGGGAUAAGCUUGUGAAACUUGGUCCAAUACCCGAUAGUGCAAGAUGAGCUCCCUGCCUAUCAGCUUGUUGGGGGGGUAAUGGCCUACCAAGGCGUCGACGGGUAGCCGGCCUGAGAGGGUGUACGGCCACAUUGGGACUGAGAGACGGCCCAGACUCCUACGGGAGGCAGCGGUGGGGAAUAUUGCACAAUGGGCGGAAGCCUGAUGCAGCGACGCCGCGUGGGGGAUGAAGGCCUACGGGUUGUAAACUCCUUUCGACAGGGACGCGGGACUUGUAGAAGAAGCACCGGCUAACUACGUGCCAGCAGCCGCGGUAAUAG
rnacentral:rRNA from 1 species